rnacentral:rRNA from 1 species
AGCGCACACGGUGGAUGCCUUGGCGGUCAGAGGCGAUGAAGGACGUGGCAGCCUGCGAAAAGUGUCGGGGAGCUGGCAACAAGCUUUGAUCCGGCAAUGUCCGAAUGGGGAAACCCACUGCUUCGGCAGUAUCCUGCAGUGAAUUCAUAGCUGCUGGAAGCGAACCCGGUGAACUGAAAUAUCUAAGUAACCGGAGGAAAAGAAAUCAACCGAGAUUCCCUAAGUAGUGACGAGCGAACGGGGACUAGCCCUUAAGCUGGUAUGGUUUUAGAAAAACAACCUGGAAAGGUUGGCCAUAGAAGGUGAUAGCCCUGUAUUUAAAAGGGCCAUACCAGUGAAGACGAGUAGGGCGGGGCACGUGAAACCCUGUCUGAACAUGGGGGGACCAUCCUCCAAGGCUAAAUACUCCUGACCGACCGAUAGUGAACCAGUACCGUGAGGGAAAGGCGAAAAGAACCCCGGAGAGGGGAGUGAAAUAGAUCCUGAAACCGUGUGCGUACAAGCAGUAGGAGCUCGUAAGAGUGACUGCGUACCUUUUGUAUAAUGGGUCAGCGACUUACUGUUCGUGGCAAGCUUAACCGUAUAGGGGAGGCGAAGGGAAACCGAGUCUGAUAAGGGCGCAUAGUCGCGGGCAGUAGACCCGAAACCGGGUGAUCUAGUCAUGCCCAGGGUGAAGGUCAGGUAACACUGACUGGAGGCCCGAACCCACUCCCGUUGCAAAGGUAGGGGAUGAGGUGUGAUUAGGAGUGAAAAGCUAAUCGAACCCGGAGAUAGCUGGUUCUCCUCGAAAGCUAUUUAGGUAGCGCCUCAUAUGUAUCCUCUCGGGGGUAGAGCACUGUUAUGGCUAGGGGGUCAUCGCGACUUACCAAACCAUUGCAAACUCCGAAUACCGAGACGGACUGUAUGGGAGACACACGGCGGGUGCUAACGUCCGUCGUGAAAAGGGAAACAACCCAGACCCACAGCUAAGGUCCCAAAUUCACUGCUAAGUGGAAAACGAUGUGGAAAGGCAUAGACAGCCAGGAGGUUGGCUUAGAAGCAGCCACCCUUUAAAGAAAGCGUAAUAGCUCACUGGUCGAGUCGGUCUGCGCGGAAGAUUUAACGGGGCUAAGCAGUGAACCGAAGCUUGGGGUGCAUCGCGUUAAGCGAUGCGCGGUAGAGGAGCGUUCCGUAAGCCUGCGAAGGUGGAUUGAGAAGUCUGCUGGAGGUAUCGGAAGUGCGAAUGCUGACAUGAGUAACGAUAAUGCGGGUGAAAAACCCGCACGCCGAAAGCCCAAGGUUUCCUUGCGCAACGUUAAUCGGCGCAGGGUGAGUCGGCCCCUAAGGCGAGGGCGAAAGCCGUAGUCGAUGGGAAGCAGGUUAAUAUUCCUGCACCUCGCGUAAGUGCGAUGGAGGGACGGAGAAGGUUAGGUGUACCGGGCGUUGGUUGUCCCGGGGAAAGGCGGUAGGUUUGGAUCCUUGGCAAAUCCGGGGUCCUUUAAGACCGAGCACCGAGACGAGUCUUUGAGACGAAGUCACUGAUACCACGCUUCCAGGAAAAGCUCCUAAGCUUCAGCUUACGCAGACCGUACCGUAAACCGACACAGGUGGGUAGGAUGAGAAUUCUCAGGCGCUUGAGAGAACUCGGGUGAAGGAACUAGGCAACAUGGCACCGUAACUUCGGGAGAAGGUGCACCCUUUUUGGUGGCUCGUGCGAGCUAUAGCUGAAGAGGGUCGCAGAAACCAGGCCGCUGCGACUGUUUAUCAAAAACACAGCACUCUGCAAACACGAAAGUGGACGUAUAGGGUGUGACGCCUGCCCGGUGCUGGAAGGUUAAUUGAUGGGGUCAGCCGCAAGGCGAAGCUCUUGAUCGAAGCCCCAGUAAACGGCGGCCGUAACUAUAACGGUCCUAAGGUAGCGAAAUUCCUUGUCGGGUAAGUUCCGACCUGCACGAAUGGCGUAACGACAGCGGCGCUGUCUCCACCCGAGACUCAGUGAAAUUGAAAUCGCUGUGAAGAUGCAGCGUUCCCGUGGCAAGACGGAAAGACCCCGUGAACCUUUACUAUAGCUUUACACUGAACGUUGAGUUCGUCUGUGUAGGAUAGGUGGGAGGCUAUGAAACCAUGGCGCUAGCUGUGGUGGAGCCAUCCUUGAAAUACCACCCUGUCGUGCUUGACGUUCUAACCUAGGUCCGUGAUCCGGAUCGGGGACCGUGUAUGGUGGGUAGUUUGACUGGGGCGGUCUCCUCCUAAAGAGUAACGGAGGAGCACGAAGGUACGCUCAGCGCGGUCGGACAUCGCGCACUGUGUGCAAAGGCAUAAGCGUGCUUGACUGCAAGAUCGACGGAUCAAGCAGGUACGAAAGUAGGUCUUAGUGAUCCGGUGGUUCUGUAUGGAAGGGCCAUCGCUCAACGGAUAAAAGGUACUCCGGGGAUAACAGGCUGAUACCGCCCAAGAGUUCAUAUCGACGGCGGUGUUUGGCACCUCGAUGUCGGCUCAUCACAUCCUGGGGCUGUAGUCGGUCCCAAGGGUAUGGCUGUUCGCCAUUUAAAGUGGUACGCGAGCUGGGUUCAGAACGUCGUGAGACAGUUCGGUCCCUAUCUGCCAUGGGCGUUGGAGAUUUGAGAGGGGCUGCUCCUAGUACGAGAGGACCGGAGUGGACGAACCUCUGGUGUUCCGGUUGUCACGCCAGUGGCAUUGCCGGGUAGCUAUGUUCGGAAGCGAUAACCGCUGAAAGCAUCUAAGCGGGAAGCGCGCCUCAAGAUGAGAUCUCCCGGGACACAAGUCCCCUAAAGGAACCAUGUAGACUACGUGGUUGAUAGGUCAGGUGUGUAAGUGCAGCAAUGCAUUGAGCUAACUGAUACUAAUGAUCCGUGCGGCUUGACC